GUGAGGAAUAUUGCGCAAUGGAGGCAACUCUGACGCAGCCAUGCCGCGUGCAGGAAGAAGGCGCUACGCGUUGUAAACUGCUUUUAACCGGGAAGAAACCCCAGGACGUGUCCUGGGUUGACGGUACCGGAGGAAUAAGCACCGGCUAACUUCGUGCCAGCAGCCGCGGUAAUACGAAGGGUGCAAGCGUUAUCCGGAUUCAUUGGGUUUAAAGGGUGCGUAGGCGGAGCGUUAAGUCAGUGGUGAAAUCCUGCAGCUUAACUGUAGACUUGCCAUUGAUACUGGCGCUCGUGAGUGCGGUUGAAGUGGGCGGAAUGUGCCGUGUAGCGGUGAAAUGCUUAGAUAUGGCACAGAACACCAAUUGCGAAGGCAGCUCACUAAGGCGAUACUGACGCUGAGGCACGAAAGCGUGGGGAUCGAACAGGAUUAGAUACCCGUGUAGUCC
rnacentral:rRNA from 1 species